AUUGAACGCUGGCGGCAGGCCUAACACAUGCAAGUCGAGCGAGCGGCGGACGGGUGAGUAAUGUAUGGGGAUCUGCCCGCUAGAGGGGGAUAACUACUGGAAACGGAGCUAAUACCGCAUACUCUCGGAUGAACCCAUAUGGGAUUAGCUCGUAGGUGAGGUAAAGGCUCACCAAGGCAACGAUCCGUAGAUGGUUUGAGAGGACGACCAGCCACACUGGGACUGAGACACGGCCCAGACCCCUACGGGAGGCAGCAGUGGGGAAUUUUGGACAAUGGGGGAAACCCUGAUCCAGCCAUCCCGCGUGUAUGAUGAAGGCCUUCGGGUUGUAAAGUACUUUUGGCAGAGAAGCGGUAUCUGCAGAAUAAGCACCGGCUAACUACGUGCCAGCCGCCGCGGUAAUAC
rnacentral:rRNA from 1 species